AUUCUCUUGAAAAUGUCUCAUAUUAUCCGAGUCUGGAAAUCUUCCAGCGAUGCCAGAGAUGACGAUUUCCUCGCCAGGAUCCAUUAUGCUCUGAGUGCAAGGAUUGAAGCUCACAGAGCUUUUUACCAGAAACACGAUAUAAAAAAAAAUAAUUCGAUGAUCAUUUCCUAUAAAGUCUAUAAUAAUCCUUGUCAGCGUUGCACAGCGGGCAGGUAACUAGGAUCAACGAUCAAUGAUGAAGAGUAUAGUCUUGAUCAGGUUUUUAUAAUGUAGCUAAAGUUACUCAUCCCACGUGCUAACAGGUCAACAAAAUGCCAUUGAAUUCUGAUAAAUUUAACUAUUAAAAAAAAAUCAUUGAAUUUACAAGUCACCUUUGAGUUUAUAUAUUUAAUUAAUAAACAUUUAAGCUGUGAAAACAUUACCUGAAUUCAUCCAUUUAAAUCUAUUAAACAAAUUUAACCAUUUAGAACAAUACUCAUUAAUUAUCAUCUACUAUAUGCGGGUAUUUUUCAAAGCUAAUUUAAUUAUGCCCAAAAAACACUUUUUAUGAAUAUUCAAAUUUUGAAAUUCGGUGUCAAGAGUUAGCGGAUAUUACGCCUAUCAUGAGUCAUCAACAUGGGCUUCAAUUAAUUAUUUAUUUCUUCAUAAUUUUUAAAUAUUUUACUACUUUAUUGUUGUCUUUACAUAAAUUAAUAAUUACCAUCAACGUCAAAAAGUAACUGCUGAUCCUGUUUUUCAUACAAAAUUAUAGAUUCCAUCAGAGACAGUCAAAAAAUUUGAAAAUCCAAAAGUCUAGAUCUCAAAUGGUCAUGUUAGAUUUUUUAAAAAUAAUUUUAGUUUAUUUAAAUUCAAUUAUAGAUCUCGUUUACUUUAACUAAACAUGCGGUCACGGAAUCAAGGCAGUUUGCAAUAAAAUAAGAGGAUAAUUUUUUUGAUUUUAUUUUGAAAGAACAUGUACAUAUUUUGAUACAAAUUUUGACAUUUCUUUGAAAUAAAUUUUGUUAAAAAAUUACAUUAAUAACGAAAAAGAAUAAUUUGAAAACCUUUUACUCAAAUUUAAAAAUUAUUCAUCAGUUUUUGACAUUCAUAUGCUUGCGGUGAAGAAGAAAUCACAGUAGAGAAGAAAUCACUUUUAAUUUAGAAGUUUUUAAAUAAAAAAUAGAAAUUUUGAAUUUUUUUCCACGCCCUUAUGGAUUCUGCAGUUGAAAAUUUCAGAACUUGUAUUUCUUAAAUAUAUACAUCAAAUUACUUUUUUUUUUACGUAUAUUAUUAUUAAUAAUAAUUAUAUUGGCACUCUUAUAAAUUAAUGUCUUACAAUUAAAAAUAAGUACAGUUGGGUAAAAAAUAAAAAAAGUUUUUUAUAUCUUCAUAUAAUUUUAUUAAAUCAAUAAACAUUUUUGUGGAUAUUAUAAGUGGAAUUAAAUUUUUAUUCAGUAGAUUAAUUGGUAAAUGGGUUACAAAAAUUCGAACUAAUGUAUAUACAAUAAAUGUGUCUUCAUUCAAAAUCAAUGUAACAUGAUAUUGUAAUUAUUACUCCGCAUUGCAUCAAUUAAUGUUAGAAAAAAAAACAAUUUCAUUUAAAAAUAAGAGUAUUAAGUAAAUUAUAAAAUAAAUUUGUGAAAGUAUGAAUUAUUAACUAAAUUAAAUUAAGCUCUACUGUAGUGUGGAUCUGAAAUUGGAGCUAGAAUUUUACCAUCUUCCAUAAUUCUAGCUUUGAAUGCGUCUGCGUCUUCAAGCGGUUCGCCAUUUAUUGCAGUCGCUAUUUUAGCUUCGUCUAAUAUCGUCACAUGAUUCCC